GUGUACGACCUUAUUGAGAGGGGAAGCUUAUCAUCCAUUUUGCACGAACAAGAGCUAGCAAAAGAGCUGAACUGGACCAACAGAAUCACUAUUGUGACGGACAUAGCUCAAGCUCUCGCCUACUUGCAUCAUGAUUGUGAUGAUCCUAUUGUACACCGAGACAUAAAAAGCAGCAACAUUCUUCUGAACCUUGAUUAUAAAGCUUAUGUCUCGGACUUCGGCAUGGCGAGGAAGCUGAAGCACGGUUGCUCAAGCUGGAGCACAAUCUUUGCAGGGACAUGUGGCUACAUAGCACCUGGUAUUUACCUAGGCACUGAUCCAUUUUAUCCUUUAUGAAAUGUUAUUCAGAAAGAGAGGAAAACAAGGCUCUUAUCUGAUAUAGAGCUGAUUUUCCUUCUUAUUACAGAAUUGUCAUCUACCAUGGUGUUGACUGAGAAAUGCGACGUGUACAGCUUCGGUGUGGUUGCGCUGGAAGUUGUGAUGGGAAAGCACCCAGGUGAUCUGCUCCUUCCGUUCUUCUGCCGAACAGAGCAGCCGGGGAAGUUCAAUGAUAUCCUGGAUCGACGCAUCGCAGCGCCGUCAACCAUCCAUGAGGAGAAGGAUGCCAUUUUGGUUGCCUUGGUGGCCUUUGCUUGUCUGCAAGUCAAUCCCAAAUCCCGGCCAACAAUGCAGCAGGUGUAUCAGGCACUGACAAAUAGAAACCGCCCAGCUUUCAUGCCCAGGCCCCUUCAUGAAAUCAGCCUGCAAGAUUUGCACGAUUACUGUGGCACCAUAAAGAAUAUAUGAAGCUAUAUAGCUAAUCUCGUGUAUAUUUGGCCUGUGUAUUUGUAUUUUUGUGUAGACUUCAAGGACAGAAGGAUGGAUAACAUCCUUUUGUAUGUUGACUUAGUAUUGUUACUAGUAAUUUCAGUAUUGAAAAUGCUAUCGUUUGGCAAAACUGUUGGAUGAAAAUAUAUGCAUUCCCUUUAUCUUGCCAUCUUCAUUCAUCUGAAGUAGGCGGAAUCACCUUUUUUUUGGAUAUGGUUAUGUUUUAGUGGAAACUUAUGCAACAGGCUGGAUGUUUAACAGGUAAAACCUGAAAGGACCGAAGCUUUUUAGCCUUUAACUUAUAGAUGUGACGAUCCCACUUACGUAUGUGCAUUGCUUUCUUUUCUUAGGGGGCGGGGAGCAGGUCGGCUUUACUUGCAAUAAUGUUAUCAGUAGCAGAUCUCAAGUUCAACCUGUUUUAUUCUCCGUCUUUUUCUUAUAAUGUUCCAUUCACACUAGCUCUCACACUCCAGAGAGUGCUGAAGCUCCAGACUGAACUCUGAAUAUAGUGCCAUGAACAUGGAAGAAAGAAUAUUUGCUUUGGACAAACAUGCCUGGGUCAUAACUGAAGUUAAUUUCCAUCCUUGUCUGGUUGCAGUUUCUGAAAACAUUUUAUGCAUGGUUGCAGUUUCUGAAUACUGGCCGGCUCUCCCUCUUUUCUUUUGUAAACUUGCAAUUUAUGGGAGCACUGCCUCGUAUGGAAAGGCGACCCCAAUCCAUUGCACAUUCUACUUCACUAGUUCCACUAGCAACACUAGAAGAAAAAUGACGAAAAGAAAGCACACUAAAACCUGAAGCUUCGUAUUUUUGGCGGCUAACUUCUCCAUACGUCGAUCUGGUGCUGCAUUCUCAACCCUAAUAAUAUCAUCAAUCUCAGCUCUCGUGGCAUGCUGUCAACAGCCGCAUUGCCCAUGAUGAGCACAUUUAUCAUCUACAUUUUCUCGACCAUGUCCAAGUACCUGUCCACAUGGAGAAACGCCAGUCUUUGACCUUUCAAAGCAUACUAAAUUCAGUAACUUGCUUGAACCAAACAUCAGGAAAACCAUAUGACACACUACUUGACUCUGAAAAGAACAGAGGAACAAUCUUCUUGUCCUUCACAUUCGUUGGGCAUUUCCCCAAAAUAUUGGCUGGGUUCAGAGAUGUGCAAGACUGAGAGCAACCUUUGGCACCCACAUUCUAGACAUUCAGUCGGAGGGAGGCUCAUCAUUCCUUGGUGCACGCCAGCCGGGGCUUCUCUAUGACAUGCCAGUCGGAGCGAGUGUCAUUGCCAGUGGCAACAACAUAUGACAAAAAGCAACAUGCCUGAAUUACUGAACCAACGGAAACACAAGUAUUAAAAUUUGUGUUUGCAGGCAACAACACAUUGUAAUUGAAUGAUCAACUCACACUCAAUACAUGCACUCUAAAUGGAAAUAGUAUGCCCAAUGAGAAUGACAACUAUCUAUAUAUAUAAUGGCUGCAUGGCGAAGAUGGAGCUGCAUAAGCGUGUUUGACAUCACAUUGAAAUACAUCUAUGCCAAUUAGGAAACAACUUUACAACCUAUGUUGUUUAUUUUGAGACAUUGGAGUCCACCAAAUUCAGUCAAGUCUUAUAUUGGAAUGGUUCUUGUGUUCAUCAAAUUCAGUAAAGUUACAUGGUGGGGGUGCGAUUGCAUGCAUUGUGUAAGGACUAUGCUUGAUUUUGUUCUGCACAUUGCAUGCAUUGGGUAAUUUCCAUAUUUUAUAUAUGUGUGCAAUCUUCUGAGCUUCUAGUUUCUGAAAACAUAUUAUAUAUGGCUGCUAUACUGGUUCUCUCUUUUCUUUUCUUUUCAUUUUUGAGGAGAACGAUUUUUGUAUGGAGGUGGAACUGCGGUUCUAGCAGAGUGCAGAGCCGCAGAGGCCAGCGAAGAGAUGUGUGGUCAUGCAGCAAAGAAUUUCUACUGGCUGAAAAUACGAAUCAGAAGUUCAUGUCAAUUUGGCGGUAUCAUGUGUGGCGCUAUAUAUGUUUCAUCAGUAUCUAUUCAAACCUGAAGCUCCCAAAGGGGGGUAUUGGAUGGUGAGCUCCCUGUCAAAUGCAUCAUUGCCUGAACCGUUGGCUGAAGAUUGUCGUGUUCCAAGGGCGAUCGACAUGCUUAUGUCGCAGUGGGCCUUACACCCAUGAAGCUUGCUUUUGAUUGGAUGCAUGUGCUGCCUCUGCUUAAUUUACACUCUGUAGUAGUUUUACCAUUUGAACAUUCUGCCUGCUCUUGUCAAGUUUUUACUGUAUUAUGUUAUACCGACAUUUGGUGCUCUUGUUGGUAAAUGAAGCUGACAUUUUGAUUUUGGAAAAUUAGCCUAGGUAACUUUUUACUGUAUUAUGUAAGACUGACAUUUGGUGCCAGUAGGAGUGUUUGGAUGGUAGUUCUGUGAUUAACUGAUUUUUGUUGUUUUAGAGUAUGUAAACUGUCAGUUUUUGUUUUGCCACUGUGUUUAUCUUUGCCCAAAGCCGUCUAGGAAAAGCACGUGGCGGCGGCAAGGAAGCCUCUGGGAGAUUAGAUCAUAGGACACAUAUCUGCCUAGCUCAACAAAACCAACCAGGACAACCUGUUCGUCCCGUUUGUACAGGAAGAUGAACAUGAAUUUGAACAUCGUCAAGUGCCGUGAAACUGUUACGUGGGUAAGAGUGACCGGUAAGAAAGUUUAGUACUUUAGUCCAACUGCUCUUGAAUGCAAUAAGCAUGCCAAUAAGCAACAUGCUGAAAUGAUGAAUUACUAACAUUUGCAUUAGGAGGCAACACCCCAUUGUAAUCGAAUGUUCAACUCACACUCAAUGCAUGUGUGCUCUCUAAAUGAAAAUAGUGUGCCCAAAGAGAACUGCAACAAUCUAUAUAUACCCCGUGACUGAAUGGCAGGAGACGGAGCAGCAUAAGGUCCAUGGAAUUAUUAUGAUAUGCAUCUGCUGUUGGGAAUCAUUUUCAUAAAAGACUUGGAUAAACAAUAGUUUUUUUCCUGAGUUUUUAUUUAUUUUGAGAUAUUGGAGUCCACCAAAUCCAGUGAAAUUCUUUGUCGCCAUGCGCUUCUUGUUCUGGAAAGCAAUUCCUAGUUAUAGUCCAGUUUUCUCGUCGACCUUUUUGAACAGUAAUGUUGGUACUCGGUGUGAAUUUAUUUGGCAAAAGUUCUGAAACGAGGAUAUCAGUCUAUGACCACAUUCCGAAUGUGAGUGACAAAUUUGGUACCAAAAUGCAUAGGACCCGCCGUUUCUUCUAGUCAAAUGGUUCUUCUCGACUAGCACUCCAUCAUGAGUAAAAAGGAGUACUGCCUGAAACAACUGUGAAGUAACUCGACUUUACCUGUAAAAAAUGGAAUUUUAAAUACAAUUCAUAGCGAUGCCCAAAUAGUUUCAUUUGUAUCACAUCUCAGCACAUUACGACUGCAACUGAAUAUUGAACUUGAUCCCUAUUAACUAUUCUUAGAAGUAAUUCGUACGAUAACAGUAGGUUGAGAAUUGAACCAGGACAAAGAAAUAAAGAAAUUCAGUGUCACAUAAGUAGGUCGGUGCAGUACCAUGGCUUUCUUGUGCCUCAAAUUCUACGCAGAGGCCACUGGAUCGGCAGGCAGAGGCACUUCUCCAAUGGGAAAUCUGGCCUAUUCGGAAGAGGGACCUAUCAUCUGGACUCAUGGGAAAAGGAAAGUAGCACAUGUAACUGGACUGGAGUGGUGUUAACUGCAGCACUGCCGUGCCUGGUGGCCGUGACUAUCUUUGCUGUCAAGCUCCUCCACUCAAUGGAAGAACACAGUGAGGAGGAAACAUUUCACGCCGAGAUUGAAGUGCUGGAAAAAAAAUCAAGUACCGUUGAUUGAAGGAGCUGGAUUGGCCCAAGAGAAUUUCUGUUGUGGCGGAUGAGCUAAGAGCAACUCUAGUAGACCCCUCAUCCGCUUCCGACCCGCAAAAUAAUCGUCAAAAUGCGGGUACGGACCGAAAAGCCUGCCCGACCAGACGCCGCAUCCCGCCCCGGCCCGCAAAAAAAUUUGGGGGGCGCGGCAAAUUCUCCGCCCCAACCCGGAAAAACGCGGGUUUCCUCCUCGCGGCUGCGGUGCCCUGCAUCAGAGGGAAGUAGUUUGCGGGAGGGACAUUUUAGCCCGCACGCUUUCCCCCUCCUUCCGCCGCCGCCCGCCCUUUGCUUCCGCCCACCCGCCGCCGGCGAUUCCGGCCAUAUCUGCGGGCGGAAUCGCGUCCCGGGGCCGCCCCACACCCUCCCGCGCCGAGCCGCUGCACCGCCCCUCCGGAUCCGGCGAGAAGAGCCGCCCGCCGUCGCCGCCGCUGCCGGGGAUCGACCACCGUCGAGCGCACCCCCUCGUCGCCGCCUGGGAUCAGCUGCCACUGGUUAGUUCCUUUUUUGUGAUUUUUGCGAGCUGCGUAGUAGAUUGACGCGCCGGUGUGCGUGUAGAUGGAGUUGACCCCGUGCGAGAAGUUCUUGCUAUCCGAUUCGUCCGAUUCAGACGACUCGGAUGUUGAGAGCAUGCUUGCGAACUUCCGGCAGCAAACAUUAGUCAUGGCGCUUGCCGUGAAGGAGCAUGAAGACGAGCACCGGAAGAGGAGGCAAGGAUCGACUGUCGGUCGUUUGUGCAUUCCUCGGAAUUGCCAUCUUGGGAACAAGAUGUUGAUGCAAGACUAUUUCACGGAGAAUCCUACAUACCCUCCGCACCUCUUCCGGAGAAGGUACCGAAUGCGACGAUCCCUCUUUGUGAAAAUUGUUGAACCUUGUGAGGCAAAUUGCCGAUAUUUUACUCAAAGAAGAAAUGUCGCGGGCUUAAAGGGAUUUAGUGCAUAUCAAAAAAUCUCCGCAGCUAUGCGGGUGAUUGCAUAUGGCAUUCCGGCUGACUAUGCCGAUGAGUAUCUUCGCAUUGGUGAAGAUAACACAAUUGAGUCUGUGCGUAGAUUUGCGAAAGUGAUCAUUCGUGUCUUCGGUGCCGAGUAUCUUCGGGCACCCAAUGAAGAUGACACAAAGAAAUUGAUGGCAUCAAAUGAGAGGAGGGGUUGGCCUGGCAUGCUAGGUAGCAUUGAUUGUAUGCAUUGAAAUUGGAAAAUUGCCCCAAGGCUUGGCAAGGAAUUUAUUGUGGCAAGUCUCGUGAUGCAACAAUUGUGCUAGAGGUCGUAGCAUCCGAGGAUUUAUGGAUUUGGCAUUGCUUUUUUGGUAUGCCGGGCACUCUCAAUGAUAUCAAUGUGUUGCAACGGUCUCAUUUGUUUGUUAGGCUUGCUAGUGGUGAUGCUCCUGCUUGCAACUACACUAUCAAUGGGCAUGAAUACAAAAAGGGUACUAUCUUGCAGAUGGUAUAUAUCCUCCUUGGUGCACAUUUGUCAAGAGCAUCAAAGAACCCAAAACGAAAAACAAUGUGAAUUUGCAAGGGUGCAAGAGGCAGCCCGAAAAGACAUUGAAAAAGCAUUCGGUGUUUUCAAUCUAGGCUUGCCAUUGUCCGUGAUCCUGCUCGUUUUUGGGAUAAAAAACCUUGAAGAACAUAAUGACAUGUUGUGUUAUCCUGCACAAUAUGAUUCUUGAAGAUGAGAGAGGAUUGAACUUAAAAUUCUUUUACGAGAAUGUGGGUAGUCGUGUCAAACCAGCAAGAGACCCAAACCGCAUUGAUUAGAGCUUUUCUUCACACAUACAAAGAAAUUGAAAAUGUAGACACCCACUUUCAACUUCACGAAGAUCUCAUUAAGCACCAUUGGCAAGGGGCUGGACAGUGACUUAUUUUUGUAUUCAUGAAAAUUUUUGUAUUGCACUAUUUAAGUUUGCUACGGUUAUUUGAAUAACUAUUUGUAAUGCGGAUGAUUAUUGUAUUAUGUUUGAUUGGAAUAAUUCAGUUUGUUUGUGAUUGUUGAAUUAUAUUGUAUUUGAUAUUUGCGGGCUGAUGAUAUGCGGGAUGCAGCAGCGCAAAGAGCAGACCCCGCAAAGCCGACCCGUAAAAAAGUAUAUUCCGUGAAUAUACUUUUUUACGGAUCCGUUUGGGAGUCUGCAUCUGUGCCAGCCCAAGCCGACCCGCAAAAGCUGUUUUGUGCGAACUGCAAACGCGUUUUGCGGGCCGACGGGAUGCGGAGUCUGUUAGAGUUGCUCUAAAGCUCUUCCCUAUUUGCACCAUCAUUGUGAUGAUGACGACAUAGAAAGCAGCAACAUUCUUCUAGAUUAUGGCAUGGCGAGGAAACUCAAGUAUGUUUACCCAAGCUGGAGCACUACUUUUUGCAGGGAUGUGAUACAUUUUUAUUAUUUGCCAAAGUACAGAUUUACUCAUCUUUUGUUGUUGAGAGCAUGCAAUCAGUGAAUAAGUAAUUUUACCGGAGCCGGGAUGUAUCCGUGUUGGAUCCAUUGUCCAUCGAUUUCAUAAAGAUCCGUGCAGUCUGACCCGGUAUAACACAAUACUUCAUUCCAGCAACUAUACUUCGUAAUAUGGUCUGAGACAAAACAGUGACUAGCAGCUUUUUGCAGAAGGGAGAGAGACAGAGUUGGAAUUGAGAGAAGGACGCUGCAUGCAUUCUCUCUCCAUACAAAUGACAUGUACUUAAUUUCAUUCUUAAAUUUUAAAUGAUUGAUAUCUGUUAAAUGAAAUGUCCAUUUUUAGAACUUUUUAUAUAUUUGGAAUCAUGGUGACAAGAUCUUUAGAACAAGAUUAAUCUUGGAUAUAUUUGAAAUACUUUUUAUUUUAUCUAUUAGAAAUGACUUUCACAAAGCAUAAAAUUGUUUCGCUUUGAAAAAUAAUUUCAUAUAUUUAAAAUAAUCAGUUUCACUCCUGGCAAAAAAAAGAAAUAAUCAGUUUCACACACGCACCAAUCUAUUUCACAUAGCCGAAAUAACCAGUUUCACAUAUUUAAAAAAAUGGACCUAAAUUGUUGCAUAAAACUCACUUGACUCAUUUCAGAAUAUAAUUUCACUCAUUUCAAAAAACUUAUUUCAAUCCUUAAGAGACCGAUUCCACAAUUGCCAAAAAAAAAACUUGAUUUCGGUCAUUUUGUUUUACUGAUUUCAAUUAUUUCAAAAACAUAUUUCAAUUAUUUACAAAAACAAUUUCACUCGCUUCAUAAAACAUAUUUUGCUAAUUUCAGAAAAGUUUUGAAAUAAUCAGUUUCACAUGUUUGAAAUAACUAAUUUCACGUAUUUCACACCGAAAAAUGUGCAUGAGUAUUUAAAAGGAUUUCACUCAUCUUGAAAUUUUGGCUCCAUUUAUUUCAGAAAACUAAUUUCAAUUACAUAAUUAGAUUUCACUCAAUUUAGUGAAACACAUUACACUCACUCAAUUGUAAUACUAUGUUUCACUCGUUUCAAAAAACUGAUUUCACUCAUUUCAAAAGAUAGAUUUCACAUAUUUCACUAGUUUCAGAAAACAAAUUACACUCACUCAUUUGAAAUAAGUGAAAUUUAAAUUUUGAUAUGAUUGAAAUAGAAAAACUUAAACUAGUUUAAAUAUAUUCAAAAUUGGUCUUGUUCUACAGAUCACAUGUUCAGGAAUUUGAAUAUAUAUAAAAUUUCAAUAAUAGAAAAUUAGUGUUAGAGAUAUUGUCCAUCUAAAAUUUUAAACAAAGAUAAAAUGGAUGGGUUUGUGUGUGACAGAGAGGAUAGAUUCUGCAUGCAUGCAUACGUAUCAUUCCUGUGAAAAGGUACUACAUCAUUCUGACAUUGAUUAGACUAAAAUCAAAAAUACAAGAGAUUUUUUGCAAUAAAUACUUUCAUAUAUACAUGCACAUGUUCCCACAAUUUUAGAUGUGACAGCACCUCACUGGUGGGAAGUUCACCGGUAGCUCCCAACUCCGAUAAAAAACACUUUGCGAUGGAAUCAGCCAGUUUGUUGCUUGUUUUGCCAAUGCAUUUAUCUUUUCCCAAAGGCAUCCACGAUAAAGACGUGAAAGCUUUUUACUGAAAAAGGCUUUCGCCCCGCUUUAUAUAUAAAGCAAUGGCCGACCACAACUCAGACACAAAUGCACGCCACCACAACACACGCACACACUCAAGGCUGGAUACAUAGGCGCUGAGUACAACAACACUACCCCCUAAUACUACAAGAGCAACCAGAGUCCUCAAGGGCCAGCUGCACUGCCAUUGCCAUCCAGCAUUAUCUUGCCAUUCAUGUAGUUGACCUGACGGUCUUCCAGGCUUUGUCCUGUUUUAGAAUACAUAAGGUAUAGACUGCUCUACCUUUUAAGUUUCAAAAAUAAAAAAAAAUGAUCAUAAUGAAAAUUUACACGCAGUUAAAGCAUCCAUCGGUGUUUAUGUUCAAAAUAUUCAGAUUUUUUUAUUUUAUACAAUUAUUAUUUUAAAUUAUAAUGUUCAUCCGGAUGCAUGUGAGCUCGAUACUAGAAAUACACUUUCGUUUCUUAGAUAUCUUUUUUCCUGACACAACUGUUGCAUACUUUUGUGUGUUUCUCACCGAAAAGGUUACAAUCUAAGAGGAAAAGGUAAAUAGAAUUGAGAAAUAGUGCACACUGCUGCAGCUUCGUGCCAUGGGAACCACACGUCACUAGCCAAGCUGCCCCUCCCACUUAUCAAAAACUUAAAAAGCUCCUAUGCCAUCCUAUGUGGGUCUCACAUGUCAUCUUCUCCCUCUCACCUUCUCUAUUCUCCCCUUCCCCUCCACUCACGGCGGUGCCUCAGUGGCCCCACCUUCCGCAUCUCCUACGCCGCUUCCCCCGUCUGCUCUUGAGGGCCGCCGCAUCUGCGAGCUCCCCCGCCACCACCGCCUAGUAUGCAAGUUGAGCAGCCUCAGGUUUGACGCCGUUCGCCUUGCCCGACGACCCCACCCCUCUCGACCGGCUCCAGGAGGGGAGGACUUCGUAUGUGAGCUGCAAUGACCACGAGCCGGUAGCACUCUCAAUGCGCGCGGCUUGCUCGAAUCGAGUCAAGUCACAUUCUCUUAAUGAUCCGAUUCAAUUGCUAUUUACAGGUUGCAGGGAAUCAACAUUCGCGCCCCAUGGGCACCUCAAGGGUUAAAUCAAAGGUGCAGGAAGAGAAGGUCCUUCAUUCCAACGGGCCAGCAAAUCCAAGGUUAUGUCUCUACAAAUACAAGGGGUGUGGGGUGUCUUGAAUCUCACUCUUUUUUUUUGAAGCAGUCACCUGUUGCUUUUUUUUUUGGAAGCAUUCACCGGUUGCUAUGGGUAUGCAUAUGUUUCUUCUCUUGGAUUGUAUGGAUUAACAUAUUCAAGAAGGAAUGAUAUAUAGUGACUUGUGAGGACUUCUCCUGCAGCACCGGACCCAGACUCAAUUCAGGACUCUCGACUGGUGGUCAGUCAUUCAGACAUUCAGUUUUGGAGAAAAAAAUGGUCACUGAUGCACGCUUGUGUGGAGCAGAAUAUAGAAAGGUCUUGUGCAAGGUCCUUGGGGGAAUCAGCUCCACAACCUGGCCAAGCAUGGACUACACGGCAAGCCUCGCAAUGACUGGUUCUGAAAUAUUAAUGACAACAGACUGUAUACAUCCAUGUAUGUAAAUGUGUGUGAUUUGGAGCUUCACUUACGAACUAGACCUGCACAACAUGAGCCUUCUCCUUGCCUUGGAGUUGCUGCUGUUCCUGCUUGCCUUGCCACACCUUUCUUCUACCUCAUUCUACUCAUUUGUCACUGGAUCGGCAGGCAGAGGCGCUUCUCCGAUGGAAAUCUAGCCUAAGCAGUUGGUCCUAUGAUUACCUGGACACAUGGACAAAGGGAAGCAACCCCUGUGACUGGACCGGCGUUGCCGUCAGCAACACCGUGCUGCCUCGUGGCCGUGACCAGGGUGAUUUUGCCCAAGUCGUGUCCAGCAUUUCGCUUCCAUACUGUUAUCUUGAAGGCAGGUUGGACAGUCUGCACUGCACUUUGCAGACUUGUCAUAUCUUGUCCAUCUGGACCUCAACGGCAACUCUCUCUCGGGACCAAUCCCGUCAAGCAUUGGUGCUCUCACCAAGCUCGAAUACUUGGAUCUAUCCAACAAUGGCCUGAGCGGAUCUAUCCCAACAUCCCUAGGUAAUUGUACUAAACUAAUCUCCAUUGACCUCUCUUACUACAAUUUGUUUCUACCAUGCCUAGUACAAUAGGAAGACUGGGGAAUUUGAUGAGCCUCUCGACUUUUCAGAGUUGCCUCGUCUUGUCUUUCUGGACCUCAGAUACAACACUCUCUCCGGCCUAAUCCCAUCAAGCAUUAGUUCUCUCGCCAAGCUCGAAUACAUGGAUCUAUCAGGCAAUAGUCUUCAUGGACCCAUCCCAACAUACCUAGGUAAUUGUACUAAACUAACCUCCAUUGAUCUCUCUUACUACAAAUUUUUUCUACCAUGCCUUGUAUAGUAGGAAAACUAGGGAAUUUGAUGAGCCUCUCCACUUUGCAGAGUUGCCUCGUCUUGUCCAUCUGGAGCUCAGAUACAACACUCUCUCAGGCCUAAUCCCAUCAAGCAUUGGUGCUCUCGCCAAGCUCGAAUACUUGGAUCUAUCGGGCAAUCUUCUUAAAGGACCUAUCCCAUCAUUCAUAGCUAAUUGUACUAAACUAACCUCUCUCAAAUUCUGUCAUAAUCUUUUGAGCAAAGGAUCCAUUGUAGGCAAUCGGACGAGUUUACGAUACUUAGAUCUUUCCAACAAUCUAAUAAAUGGUCCCUUCCCUUCAACCAUUCUGAAAUUAGCCUCUCUAACAACGCUGGCACUUCGAUCCAAUCAGCUUAACGGCCUAUUACCAUCAUAAAUUGGAAAUCUUAUUAUUCUCUCUCAUCUGGAUCUUUCCAACAAUCGGAUCACGGGUUCCGUCGGAAGCAUAGGAAAUCUAACAAGUUUAGAGUUCUUGGAUCUUUCAAACAAUCAAAUAAAUGGUUCCAUUUCUUCGACCUUCUCGAAAUUGACCUCUGUUACAACACUGUCACUUGGGUCCAAUAAGCUUAGUGGCUUAUUACCACCAGAGUUAGGAUCUCUUAUUCAUCCCACUCGUCUGGAACUAAGUAGCAAUCAGUUUGAAGGAAGCAUUCCACCUCAGAUAGGACAUUGCCACCUUUUAACAUCGUUACUCAUAUCGGACAACUUAUUGACGGGUGAAAUCCCACAAGAACUUGGGUAUCUCACCAACCUAUAUGAGAUGGAUUUGAGUAGAAACAAUUUAAGUGGUGCCAUUCCAGCGACCUUUUCUAAUCUUCCCAGACAGGCUAUGCUGAUUUUAGCAUAUAAUAGUUUGACUGGCAAAGUUCCAUCUAUCACAGCCUCAAUCUUACUUGACCAUAAUAAGGAUUUAUGCGGUGAUUCCAAUCACUUAAUGCCAUGUGAAACACUGAAGCUCGACAUGAACCACCAAAGCAGAAAACAUCCACGUAUGGUACUUCUUGCGUUUUUUGCACCCUUUUCCUUCGCUUGCCUCUCAAUAGCAAGCAUCACGGUUAUUUGUAGGAGAAACAAGUGUUCAAAAAGUAAAAGGAAAAGCAAGUCUGGAGAUAUACUUUCUAUAUGGAAUUUCGAUGGGAAGAUCGCAUUCGAAGACAUACUCACUGCAACUGAAAAUUUCAAUGAGAAAUAUUGCAUUGGCAUUGGAGGCUAUGGAACUGUCUUCAGAGUCGAGCUCGAAGGCGGGGUUACCUUUGCCGUCAAGCUCCUGCAUUCAAUGGAAGAAUUCAACGACGAGGAAACAUUUCACGCUGAGAUUGAAGUGUUGACAAAAAUCAGGCACCGAUGCAUGGUCAAGCUGUAUGGCUUCUGUUCACACUCCCAAUGCAAAUUUCUUGUGUAUGACCUUAUUGAGAGGGGAAGCUUAUCAUCCAUUUUGCACGAGCAAGAGCUAGCAAAGGAGCUGGACUGGUCAAAUAGAAUUGCUAUUGUGGCGGACAUAGCUCAAGCUCUCUCCUAUUUGCAUCAUGAUUGCGAUGAUCCUAUUGUACACCGGGACAUAAAAAGCAGCAACAUUCUUCUGAACCGAGAUUAUAAAGCUUAUGUCUCGGACUUUGGCAUGGCGAGGAAGCUGAAGCAUGGUUGCUCAAGCUGGAGCACUAUCUUUGCAGGGACAUGUGGCUAUAUAGCCCCAGGUACUCACUGAUG
rnacentral:lncRNA from 1 species